rnacentral:rRNA from 1 species
AACGAACGCUGGCGGCAUGCCUAACACAUGCAAGUCGAACGAGACCUUCGGGUCUAGUGGCGCACGGGUGCGUAACGCGUGGGAACCUGCCCUUAGGUUCGGAAUAACUCCCCGAAAGGGGUGCUAAUACCGGAUAAUGUCUUCGGACCAAAGAUUUAUCGCCUUUGGAUGUGCCCGCGUUGGAUUAGCUAGUUGGUAGGGUAAGAGACUACCAAGGCGACGAUCCAUAGCUGGUCUGAGAGAAUGAUCAGCCACACUUGGACUAGGACACGGCCCGGACUCCUACGCGAGGCAGCAGUGGGGAAUAUUGGACAAUGGGCGGAAGCCUGAUCCAGCAAUGCCGCGUGAGUGAUGAAGUCCUUAGGGUUGUAAAGCUCUUUUACCCGGGAUGAUAAUGACAGUACCGAGAGAAUAAGCUCCGGCUAACUCCGUG